GAAAAGCCUGAUUCGGAAUAUCCAAACAGAAUAUGCUGCAUACAUGACCUGUAUAAAAUUCAGAAUACUGUCAUAUUCUGAAUAAUAGUAGAAUAUUAGAAUGAAUGUAAAGG